AAGGCCUUAGUUUAACAAAAACAUUUGAUUUGCACUCAGAUGAUGCAAGAUAAACUCUUGUAGGUCUUA
rnacentral:tRNA from 1 species